UAAAUUCCGCGAUGAGUCUUGCU
rnacentral:piRNA from 1 species